GUGGGGAAUAUUGGACAAUGGGCGAAAGCCUGAUCCAGUCAUGCCGCGUGUGUGAAGAAGGUCUUCGGAUUGUAAAGCACUUUAAGUUGGGAGGAAGGGCAGUAAGUUAAUACCUUGCUGUUUUGACGUUACCGACAGAAUAAGCACCGGCUAACUUCGUGCCAGCAGCCGCGGUAAUACGAAGGGUGCAAGCGUUAAUCGGAAUUACUGGGCGUAAAGCGCGCGUAGGUGGUUUUGUAAGUUGGAGGUGAAAUCCCCGGGCUCAACCUGGGAACUGCCUCCAAAACUGCAUGACUAGAGUACGGUAGAGGGUAGUGGAAUUUCCUGUGUAGCGGUGAAAUGCGUAGAUAUAGGAAGGAACACCAGUGGCGAAGGCGACUACCUGGACUGAUACUGACACUGAGGUGCGAAAGCGUGGGGAGCAAACAGGAUUAGAUACCCGAGUAGUCC
rnacentral:rRNA from 1 species